rnacentral:rRNA from 1 species
GAUGAACGCUGGCGGCGUGCCUAAUACAUGCAAGUAGAACGCUGAAGGAAGGAGCUUGCUCUUUCCGGAUGAGUUGCGAACGGGUGAGUAACGCGUAGGUAACCUGCCUGGUAGCGGGGGAUAACUAUUGGAAACGAUAGCUAAUACCGCAUAACAGUAGAUGUUGCAUGAUAUCUACUUAAAAGGUGCAAUUGCACCACUACCAGAUGGACCUGCGUUGUAUUAGCUAGUUGGUGAGGUAACGGCUCACCAAGGCGACGAUACAUAGCCGACCUGAGAGGGUGAUCGGCCACACUGGGACUGAGACACGGCCCAGACUCCUACGGGAGGCAGCAGUAGGGAAUCUUCGGAAAUGGACGGAAGUCUGACCGAGCAACGCCGCGUGAGUGAAGAAGGUUUUCGGAUCGUAAAGCUCUGUUGUAAGAGAAGAACGAGUGUGAGAGUGGAAAGUUCACACUGUGACGGUAUCUUACCAGAAAGGGACGGCUAACUACGUG